GACGAAUUGGGGGUGAAAAUCAUUGAAUCUCCUCCAACUUUGUCACCUGAAUCGAAUGAGUAGGGAAAUGGUCGAAGUCAAUGACGGCACCUUCGAUAAUGGUGGGAAAGAGGGUUGAAACCCAAAAAGAAAGAAAAAAAAGGAAAAUAUGUUCAAAACACACCGAAAUUCCCUUGCUAUCAUAAGUCCUUGAAAUCCUAAAAGUUAUUGUCGUUGGAUUUAAAACCGCACCCGG
rnacentral:lncRNA from 1 species